UACAGAGGGUGCAAGCGUUAAUCGGAAUUACUGGGCGUAAAGCGUGCGUAGUCGGUUAUUUAAGUCGGGCGUGAAAGCCCCGGGCUCAACCUGGGAAUUGCGUUCGAUACUGGAUAGCUAGAGUUCGGCAGAGGGAAGCGGAAUUUCCGGUGUAGCGGUGAAAUGCGUAGAUAUCGGAAGGAACAUCAGUGGCGAAGGCGGCCCUCUGGACCAGCACUGACGCUGAGGCACGAAAGCGUGGGGAGCAAACAGG
rnacentral:rRNA from 1 species